GGCGCUGAUUACUUUCUCUGGCUCUGAACGACCGAGAGCGAUCCACGCCACUCGCUCAUCGGCUUACGAGGUUCUGCCGCUUUACUGCGCACGUGUGUGCGCCUGCGGUCCAUCGCUUGAUCUUUUCUGUUGUUUCUUGCACCUUUUUCCUCGUUGUUUGGCGCCACCACCAUCUUUUUCGAUGAUCCACCGCUGAACUCUCCGCCUUCCUGCCCUCCUGCUCUCCACGGACCGUUUUCGAGGCUUUCUUGCUUGUCUCUUUCUCUCCACACCUCUCACACGCUGCGCGUCGUCUUUUGUGUGCUUGCUAGGUACCGUUGCGCCCCCUCUCCUCCCUUAGUCGAUCUAAGCAUUUACAGGAUACCCACCGGAUAUCUGCCUCUAUCUGUGCAUACAUAUCUAGAUAUAUCUACAUUGUGUGUGUGUGUGUGCCGUUCUAUGCUACGUGCGUUUCGCCUUUUACUUACCUUUUAACGUUUCCUAUCGCUCUCUCUUCAUCUUUUUGAUGCGACGGACGCCAUUGCCGCCAGCGUACCACCAUCCGCUGCCGCUGUCCGCGUCGCUCAGCAUCUCUGGUGCCAGUCGCACUACGCAGGUGCUUGCAGAGAGUUCACACACGUACACGUAGACGCACGCGCGGCCGCCACCAUGGAUGCGUGGUUUGAGUAUGCGCUCGGCGUUGGCGAGGUUAUCUACAACAUGAAGCUGCACGAGUACGAGGAUGCGUGCGCGUCGCUGCUACUGACGGCGGCCGAGGUCGCAGUCUCGGCUGUAGCCGCCCCAGACAAUGAGGCCAACAAGGCGAGGCGAUCCGGUAAAGAAUUUCAUCAUGAGCAUGGUGGCCUUGAUACCACCGUCGCCCCUGUCACCGGAUGGGCUGCGCAUCUGCAGCCACCAGCCUUGAUGAGCUCAUCUGCUGGUAGUCCUCGUAUUUCCAUGGGUGCCACUUUUUUCAAUGUGUCCACGACUUCAUCAGCGAUCGCCGAUUCAGUUCAUUCCCGUGGCGCCGCUGCAACUCCUGGCAGCAGACCAGUGGUCGAUCCGUGCACAUUAUCGAGCGCGACGACUGCGCUGAACGAAUCGUGCCGCACCCGCAACUGCAGUAUUGAUCAAAGUAAAGCGCCAACGUUGUCCUCGUCGGCGACGUACCUGCCCGCUAACCCCGGCGACUGUAACUGCCGCGCUCUUACCCUUGCUGCUGGCGCUGCUGCAUCACCUGCGGAGGCCUUUGGAGCGUUGGUGGACGCGAUGCAGCUGCGGAAGCCCAUGCGCGCGGCGACAUCGAGCAGUCAGCAUAUCGACGACAUCCAGGCAGAGGCGGACUUUGUCUUUCAGGAGUUGGAGGAUGUCUUUACUCUACAGCCAGGGGAUGCCGCUGCCGCCGCCGCAGCUGCCUCAACCGCUGGUGUCGCGCCGCGACCCUCCCCGACGCUGCCGAGCUCCAUGGAGACCCGCUGUCAGCUUAAUGAAAAUGAGGAGGAGCGCGAAGUUGCAGCAGCGCAAUCCAGGCCUCUUCCAGCGCCACCACCCGCUUCCAUCGCCGAUAGCAGCGAGCGCCACCUCCUCUACGGCGAGCUGACCUCCGUCGGAGUACGGCAGCUGCAGGCGAUCAGCAUGGCGUCCAGCUGCGUGGUGGGCGAGGAGCACGGGCGCUCGAGCUCGCGCGAUCACGGGAUCGGCGGAGCCGGCCUCCGCGCCAACCCCACGACAAAGGUGGCCUGCUCGCGUGACAGCUCCUCAGCGCCGGCGCUCGGCUCCACGCCGCCGGCGAACUACAAUGUGAGCGCUCCAUUAUCUUGCACUGGGGACCAUUCCCAUGGUCACAGGCACACCUCUCGAGGCGCCGUCAUUGUCGCGGUGGAUGUGGGCAGCGGUAACGGACGCCUGCUCUUCGAGUGGGGCCGACUAGCGGCAGCGGCGUGCCGUCGCCCGCAUACUUCGUCACCGCUGCGAUACUCGGACGAAGGCUGCACGCUCGUCGGCGCAGCACCGACGUCCGUUACGCUGCACUCUACCACGAGCGCUGCGGGGAGCACCACGGCGGCGACGACGCAAGCAGCAUCUAUGCGCUGCGGCAAGCUGCUCGCAGCGGCCUACGCACCGCUAGGAAUCUCGAGCCCCACGACGGUGUGGCGUGGGUGGCUUGGCGUCGGCAUUGAGCUGGUACCGUCUCGCAUGCGCAUCGCCCGAAAGGCGCUGGCGCCGCACUACCUGAACCUAAGGCAACCCUUGGUGGUCCCUUCGGCCGGUGGCGGCGUGCCAGCCCCCGUCACCCAUCUGGACCCGUGCCCUCUCGAGGCCACCGUGGUCACCGACACUUCUGCGUCGUGCAGCCCCUCCGCCUCGCUGCAGUCGGGCGUUGCCACUCAUAUCACCGCCGCCAGAUCGGUGGUAGGGUCGCCAGCGUCGACGGGCACUUCUGUCGCCAUGGCACCGGGGUGCCGGGUGCCGCAGCCGUCUGCGCGCGUGCUGCUCUACGAAGGUGAUGCCUUGGCUCCUGGCGUGCUGUCGAACGCGACGCUGUGCCGGUUUCCAAGCCCCAACCACCACAUUGCGCAUCUGCCGCUGCGCGAGUCCUGCGCCGUGCGCAACGACGGCGGCGUGCAGGGCUGGGGCGCAGAUAGCGGCAGUUUCCGGUGCACAGCAACAUCGGCCGCCAGCGUGUCGGCCACGGCGGCAGCGAUGAACGAGACCGGCCCUCUCAACAGCAUUUGCAGUGACGAGCACGGACCGGGGGGCGCCCGGCCGCCGGCGAGCAUGAGUUUGGCCUCCAUCACGACUGCCGGUAGUGGCUGCUCCGUUCGUCCCCGACCAGUGGAGCAAAACUACUACCCCCUGUGCAGCGUGGAGGGUGGCCCGUUGCUCACCGGGAGGGAGGAGCCCCACUUGGUGGUCUUCUGCUGCGGGCUCGGCUUUGAUGAGGCGCAGGUGCGACGGCUGUGUCAGAGACUAGAGGACAUGCUGUUGCGCCGCUCUGCCACCGCAGCGGAGACGACACCGUCCUCCGUCGGAGGCGGCCCGAUGACGUACCAACAGCUCAGCAAAGAUGCAAACAGUUUUCCAUCGCACCACACUCGCCACCACCACAGCCCCAUGCCCCAGGGCGAGGACGGAGAGGCCGCGGCGUCGCCAGCCGAGUGCGCCUCGCCAUCUCUGACAUCCCCCGAGAAGAGCAAGGAGGAGGAGGGCAACGAGACCCGAUUUGGGAUUCAACCGAUGACAUCGACUGCGGCAGACCCCGUCAUCGGCGUCGCGACGGGCGUCGGCGCCGGCUUCGUCCCCCAUCGGCACUGGGAGAGCGUUACCUGUGUGCUGCUGCUGCGCCCGAUGGACGUUCUUCUGCCGACCUUCCCGCUUUUCCGCUACGCCCGCCGCGUGUACGACACCGUCUGCCAGCCCAUCUCGGCGGAAGACACAGGACUGCUGCUCUCCACUGGACAUCGCUCUGACGGCAGCUCAGUGCCGUUCAGCGUGCGUGCCACUCCGGCGUUGGAGCGCCUUCCUGAGUUGUCCGUCGCGGGCGACAUUGUGGACAGCGACUUGUGGAGGACUACGCUGGAGACGACCUGGAUGAACGCCGCGCCGGCAUGGGUGAUACGCUUCCACUUCUAACACACCUGCGUAUGCGUGCAUGGGCGCGUACUCUUCCUCUGCGUUGUGGUGUAGCUACCGCGCACUUGGCAUGCCUCCUUCCAUCGCUUGGCGCCAGCCGGCUCUUCCUUUGUUCCUUAGGAUUUCUUCUCGAACCUCGUGGGAGGGAGGGGCAGCCACGCAUCUCGCAGUGCGUGGCAUCACAGGGUCCAAGUGCCCCCACACUCUGCGUCGGGGGAGGCCAGGUAGCUCCCCCUCCCCCGUCACCCCUCCCUCCAUCCCUGCCCAUGCCGAACCACUUCUGGUGGUGGCAGGGCCAGGUCGCUACGACGUUGGGGUGGGGGAGACAGAGCGAUGCACCGCCACUGAUGUCGGCGGUGAGGCCGUGGAUGGCACCGCGUUGGAGCCACCUGCGAAGCGAAUGGCGUGCGUGUGGUGUCUGGGUGAGAGGCCGUGCUCUCAGAUGGCUGGGCCGGCGCAUGGCUGCAGCGCGUGCGUCUACGGCUGCUCGGCACCGUGCGAUGGGUGCCGGUGGGGCAGGUCUGCAGGGGGUAGAGCGCCGUUUGGGCUCAUGCUGUAUGACAGAGAGCGAAUACGUGGCAGAAGACCUCGCGGGCUUGUCUUUCCGAUUUUCUCCGUUUUGACUUCACCGUUCCCGAUGUCGGCCCGAAAGGGGUGGGGUUGGGUGGGGACGUUGGUCAGGCGUGGAUGCUCUGCCUGCUUCGCGUUUCGCUUUCUGUGUUGUAUGCUUUCUGCCGUUGUGCUUGUGUGCCGCUGGGUCAUGGCGAUGUCGUGGUGACGGGACGCAUCCAAGCAGAUUGUGCGCGUGUGGGUGUGUUGCAUCUCUUCUCCCCUCCGCCUCAGGUGAUUGCUUUUCUGCCCGCUUCGACUGUGGUCUCCUCCCCCUCCGUCU
rnacentral:misc_RNA from 1 species